UGUUAUUAAAAAAAAAAAAAAGAAAAGUAAUCAUGUCCGAAAAUUUAUUUGAGUAUUUAUUCUAGCUGGCCUAAGUUAUGGCAAUUUAUUUAUAUUUGUUGAAAACCUCAUUCAUCACAUAUGUAUCCAUAGUAAUUUCUACAAUUUCCGCUGUACAGCGGUCAUAGACUCGUAGACUCGUAGACUCGUAGUAUCACAGGAUGUCUUAGUUAUGGCCAUGGAAGCUGAAUCCUUGCUGACCAACUCAUCACAAGGAAACCAAUAUUUCCAGAAAAGAUCUAAAUUCGCCGUAAAAAGGAUACUUCAAGAACUUCUUGUGCAGUGAAAAUAAUAAGUGAAAAAUUUGAAUAAAGUGUACGGAGGCCUCCUCACUUCAAUACACCAGGUAUUUACGAAAAACCAAUAUUAAAUUAUGGAAAAUUCACAGGCAACUACUUCGCAAAAAAAUGGGACAGGAUAAUAAAUAAAUUUGUAAUUACUUGAUUUAAAUUUUGUUUAUUUUUUGGAAAUUCUAUUUAUUUGAUCUAUUAUGUAUAUUAAAUUGCAAACAUGAUUACAA